CCGGAUCACCCUCUGGAUCCAGGAAUCUUUUGAAGGAUUCUUUAUCAUUGUGAGAUAGGGCAAAUUUUGGAAUUUUUGCAUUUAACUCUAUAAAAAUGUCCAGAGUCUUUAGUAAAAAAAUACACAAAAGGAUCUCAAUGAGUUUUAUGAGGUGUCAAAGGUUGAUCCUGAUCCAGACAAAAUUCUGGAUACUGUGAUCCAGAACACACAAAAAUAAGGGUGUCGUUGGAAUUUUCAA